AUUUUUAGUAAUAUUUAUAGUAUUAUAUUAUAAAUGCAAUAUGGGUAAUUCCACGACGGAAUUUGUCCCGUGCGAGACUCUUUACGUUAAAAAUAACAUAAACUGAAACAAUUUUAAAAAUAAAAAAGGUUAUUUUGAUAGCCCUAGAUAAGUACUUUAAUUAGAGCUAAGAAUGGCUUUGGAAUUUUCUUUCUGUUUAGUUUUCGGUUCUGAUAAUUGCAAAAAUUUACAAAUUCGUACGCAAAACCAAAAAAAGGACGAAUAUAUAUAUUUUAUCGUAAAACAGAACAAGUUCCUAAAAUCAAUCUUAACUCUAAAUAUAGUGCUUAUCUAAAGCUUUAGGAACAACAUUCACUUAUUUUUAAAAUUGUUUCAGUUUAUGUUAUCUUCACUGUAAAGGUUCUCGCACGAGACAAAUUGCAUAUGUUUUUCUUAUUAAAUAUAAUUUUUAAAUAUUGAACAACAAAAAUAGUAAUAAAUUAGUACACAUCCGUAUAUUGUGUUAUGUAUACUCGUAUUAAGUCACUUUUAGCGCGCCAAUUUUGAAUUUACUGUGUGGAAUAUAUGUAUGUAUUAAAUUAGCUGAUACGGAUAACAUUAAUUACUGUCACGAAUCGCACUUGAGCACUUAGAACUGGCGUUUUCUGUGGUCGCUUGGUAAAUUCAAAGUGCAGCAUUUGGCAGAACUAUGGCAGAGGCUCCAUUUGUGACGUGUGGAUGGCGUAACUGAUGACGCUGUUCGACGAGAGCGAGGAGAGCGCGUGGCACAUCCAUUGUUUGAUCAUCCACAAGCACAAUAUCAAAGGUAUUCAUAUACUUGUCCAUAUUUGCUUCCACGUGAUCAAAUAGAAACCCUAUUUUCAUGAUGUGAGAUGAAGCGGGCACACCGUUGGCCAUGUCCGCAUCGCCGAGAGAGUCACCCAUGACAAUGAUGUGAUCACGUGUGUGUACAAGCUCAUAAUACUCGCUGCCAUCCAAUACCGUUUCAUUUUUGUUGAAGGUGUGAAUCAUCGGCUGCUGGAAGCCAUCGAGCACCCCGUCG